ensembl:snRNA U6 U6 spliceosomal RNA
GCACUCUCUUUGGCAGCACAUAGAUUAAAAUUGGAACCAUACAGAGAAGAUUAGCAUGGCCCCUGCGAAAGGAU